rnacentral:lncRNA from 1 species
UGGGGAAAUCAAUGGUAGCCCAGUAGCAGCAUGACUCAUCAUUUUGUUAUCCAUGUUUGGCACAUGAAGUUUGAAAGUGUAUUAGCAAUUUUGAAGUUUCAGUUAUGGCAUUAUUCAUUAUCUAGUUUACUCAUAUUCAGCUUAUCAAAGUUUGACAAUAUCAAUAGUUUCAGUUUUAUGUGCUAUAUCCAGUUCAAUAUGUUAUACU